rnacentral:rRNA from 1 species
CCUACGGGGGGCAGCAGUGAGGAAUAUUGGUCAAUGGACGAGAGUCUGAACCAGCCAAGUAGCGUGAAGGAUGACUGCCCUAUGGGUUGUAAACUUCUUUUAUAUGGGAAUAAAACAGGGUAUGCAUACCCUCUUGUAUGUACCAUAUGAAUAAGGAUCGGCUAACUCCGUGCCAGCAGCCGCGGUAAUACGGAGGAUCCGAGCGUUAUCCGGAUUUAUUGGGUUUAAAGGGAGCGUAGGUGGAUUGUUAAGUCAGUUGUGAAAGUUUGCGGCUCAACCGUAAAAUUGCAGUUGAAACUGGCAGGCUUGAGUACAGUAGAGGUGGGCGGAAUUCGUGGUGUAGCGGUGAAAUGCUUAGAUAUCACGAAGAACUCUGAUUGCGAAGGCAACUCACUGGACUGCAACUGACACUGAGGCUCGAAAGUGUGGGUAUCAAACAGGAUUAGAUACCCCGGUAGUC